rnacentral:rRNA from 1 species
GAUGAACGCUGGCGGCGUGCCUAAUACAUGCAACUCGAGCGAACGGACGAGAAGCUUGCUUCUCUGAUGUUAGCGGCGGACGGGUGAGUAACACGUGGAUAACCUACCUAUAAGACUGGGAUAACUUCGGGAAACCGGAGCUAAUACCGGAUAAUAUUUUGAACCGCAUGGUUCAAAAGUGAAAGACGGUCUUGCUGUCACUUAUAGAUGGAUCCGCGCUGCAUUAGCUAGUUGGUAAGGUAACGGCUUACCAAGGCAACGAUGCAUAGCCGACCUGAGAGGGUGAUCGGCCACACUGGAACUGAGACACGGUCCAGACUCCUACGGGAGGCAGCAGUAGGGAAUCUUCCGCAAUGGGCGAAAGCCUGACGGAGCAACGCCGCGUGAGUGAUGAAGGUCUUCGGAUCGUAAAACUCUGCUAUUAGGGAAGAACAUAUGUGUAAGUAACUGUGCACAUCUUGACGGUACCUAAUCAGAAAGCCACGGCUAACUACGUG